CAAGGAAGCUUGAGGCAAUAACAGGUCUGUGAUGCCCUUAGAUGUUCUGGGCUGCACGCGCGCUACACUGACACGAUCAACAAGUAUUUCCUUGCCCGGUAGGGUUAGGGUAAUCUUUUGAAAUCGUGUCGUGCUAGGGAUAGACGAUUGCAAUUAUUCGUCUUCAACGAGGAAUUCCUAGUAAAUGCAAGUCAUCAGCUUGCGUUGAUUACGUCCCUGCCCUUUGUACACACCGCCCGUCGCUCCUACCGAUUGAGUGAUCCGGUGAGCUGUCCGGACUGCGAUUAGUUCAGUUUCUGUUCUCUUCGCGGGAAGUUCUGCAAACCUUAUCACUUAGAGGAAGGAGAAGUCGUAACAAGGUUUCCGUAGGUGAACCUGCGGAAGGAUCAUUC
rnacentral:ncRNA from 1 species